rnacentral:tRNA from 1 species
GGAGGUUUAGCUCAGCGGCAUAAGCGCCUGCCUUGCAAGCAGGCAGUCGUGAGUUCGAUUCCCGUACCG